AGUGAACGCUGGCGGCGUGCUUAACACAUGCAAGUCGAACGAGAACGGGUUAUAGCUUGCUAUAAUUGUCAGCUAAGUGGCGCACGGGUGAGUAAUGUAUAGGUAAUAUGCCUCUUACUAAGGAAUAACAAAUGGAAACGUUUGCUAAUACCUUAUACUCCUUAUUAACAUAAGUUAAUAAGGGAAAGAUUUAUUGGUAAGAGAUUAGCCUAUAUUGUAUCAGUUAGUUGGUGGGGUAAUGGCUUACCAAGACUAUGACACAUAACUGGUUUGAGAGGAUGAUCAGUCACACUGGAACUGAGACACGGUCCAGACUCCUACGGGAGGCAGCAGUGGGGAAUAUUGCACAAUGGACGAAAGUCUGAUGCAGCAACGCCGCGUGGAGGAUGACACAUUUCGGUGCGUAAACUCCUUUUAUAUGAGAAGAUAAUGACGGUAUUAUAUGAAUAAGCACCGGCUAACUCCGUGCCAGCCGCCGCCGUAACAC
rnacentral:rRNA from 1 species